rnacentral:misc_RNA from 1 species
GUUUUCAAUUUUUUAUUCUCCACCAAUAAAGGCAGACAAAAUCAAUCAGAUUAAAAUUGUAAGAAAAACACAAAAUGUCAGAAUUAACACACGCCACAACGCCACACAGCGGGUUACGCGAAGAAAACCUCACGAAGAGAUCUCCCGAUAACGGACCACAGCCAGGGGUUGCGUGAAUAGUUUAACCACUUGUUCAGGUGGUGGUGGUACGUUUUGUUUUCAAAGGCACAUUACCAGGUGCGAAGGGCAGUUUAGGCACAUGCCUAGGUGCAAAGACAGAGUCAAAAAAAUGAAUGUUUGCCCACAGUAGUGUGCAUCCGAGAGUGGCGCACAAAGGCCUCCACUCAACGGAAACUCAUAAAUUUUUAAUGAUCCAACCGCAGGUUCACCUACGGUUA